rnacentral:rRNA from 1 species
GAUGAACGCUGGCGGCGUGCCUAAUACAUGCAAGUCGAGCGAACGGACGAGAAGCUUGCUUCUCUGAUGUUAGCGGCGGACGGGUGAGUCACACGUGUAUAAUCUACCUAUAAUACUGGGAUAACUUCGGGAAACCGGCGCUAAUACCGGAUAAUAUUUUGCACCGCAUUGUUCAUAAGUGAAAUACGGUCUUGCUGUAUCUUAUAGAUGCAUCCGCGCUGUAUUAGCUAGUUGUUACGGUAACGGCUUACCAAGGCAACGAGGCAUAGACGACCUGAGAGGGGGAUAGGCCACACGGGAACUGAGACACGGACAAGACGCCUAAGGGAGGGAGCAGUAGGGUAUCGUCCGCAAUGGGCGAAAGUCUGACGGAGCAACGCCGAGUGAGUGAUGAAGGUCUUCGGAGCGGAAAAAUCUGUUAUUAGGGAAGAACAUAUGUGGAAGUAACUGUGCACAUCUUGACGGUAACUAAUCAGAAAGCCACGGCUAACUACGUG